CUACUACUCCCUCCGUUCGGAAAUACUCGUCGAAGGAAUGGAUGUAUCUAGAUAUGUUUUAGUUCUAGAUACAUCCAAUUUUUAGGCAUUUCUUCGACAAGUAUUUCCGGACGAAGGGAGUACUAU
rfam:Triticum aestivum genome assembly, contig: Triticum_aestivum_CS42_TGACv1_scaffold_361014_4DS